rnacentral:lncRNA from 1 species
CUCGCUGCGGACUCUGGCUGGGACAGAACAUCUGUCUGUUGCUAUGGCUGCAGUACACUUGAAGGGGAUGACUGGAUAAUUAUUGCAAACAUCCAUCCUGCCUGAUGUGCUCCCGGACCCUCGCUGGCCUGAGCGCAGGGGCAGCGGCCGGCAGGUUGGGAGCAGAACUUGGGCCACAGGGAUCCUACCUCGGGAUGGCGUGCUGGCAACACCUUUUCAUUUGCAUAAUUAAUGAGGCCGAGGCUGCAGGGCUCCUGGGAAAUCCGACGCAGAGCAGCAGCGAUGAAAUGGCACGGAGGGCUCCAGCCUUCUCCGCGGCUCAGAGCUCUGCUCGCUGCUAACGCCCCGCUUUGGAGCUACAGGGGAGUUGUUCUCCCAUUUCCAUUAAUUCACCACCCACUUCUAUCUGAACAGAUUGCUCUGGGCCCAAUCCUGCAAAUACCUCCUGCAGGCGUGGGUCCCUGGCCUGCCUGCUGACGGCAGGCUCCGGCCGGAGCAGCAUGUGGGCACACGCGGCUCCUGGCGCAAACCCCAUCACCCCAGUGCCGAACGCACCAGCCCAGAGGCCUCGGGAGCUGCAAGGGUCCUGGUCCUGGUGCGGACCCGCAGCUUCCCUGGGCUUCUCCCACCCAGGCCGGCUGCUGCGCACAGCCGUGGCAGCUCCUGGCUGCACUGCCCCUGCCAGCACCUCGGUGACCUGCUGGGUGGAGCUGUGCCUGCUGCCUGCCCCUGCGGUGCCCGGGCACCAUCCCGUGCGUGCAGCGGCGAUGCUGGCACAGCCACGGGCCGGUACGUCCCCCCGUCCCCUGCGUGCAGGCACCUCAAGCAAAGGAGGUCGUCGCUGUGCAAGGCUGCCCUUCUGCAGGGGCACGGCACGGCACGGCACGGCCCAGCGCCGCCCCCGGGCUCCUUCCUCCACACCCAGGAGUUGGCCAGCGUGUGCCCGCAGCACCCACGGCCUCUUUGUUCCUGAUUUCGCUGCUGUUCUUUCUGCCUGGCGUUCAAACCCUGCCCAGGAUCCAACCCUGGGGGAUGUUCAGAAAUUCAGAAUUUUUGUCCCUGCAUUUUGUCGAUUGUCUCCGUUUCCACCAAUUCCCACCUCUGAAUUAACAGAGCAAAAAACGACAGAGGUUCCCCUUCUGACCCAAUACUGCUGCACUCUUUGCUUAACUGUGCAACUUCAAUGCACCCAUUGUACAUUUUUUUCUGUUUAUCAACAAGUGGAGGGAUAGUGAGUCAGAGGGUGGAGCUGGGGCCAGGAUGAGCACAGGCGGCCGCGGCCACUGGCCGACAAACAGCGUCGCAGCAGGGACCCUCCGCCGGGACUGCGUGAGCUCGGAAGCCUAGGAAGGCUGUGUGGGACACGACUGCCCCUUGCUUUCCCAGUUAUCUAUGACACUGGCAAUAAAUAAUAACAGAAUAUUUCA